CCUACGGGAGGCAGCAGUGGGGAAUAUUGCGCAAUGGCCGCAAGGCUGACGCAGCGACGCCGCGUGGGGGAUGACGCAUUUCGGUGUGUAAACCCCUGUUGCCCGGGACGAACCACUCGUUUCGACGAGUCUGACGGUACCGGGUGAGGAAGCACCGGCUAACUCCGUGCCAGCAGCCGCGGUAAUA
rnacentral:rRNA from 1 species